AAAGAUCCAACAAUACAUACCAAAGGGACUCUUAAGGUUUUCUCCCCAAAUUUCUUCGACGACGACGACUCUUACAACAGGUUCCAUUACAUGCACAACUCCGAACAGAGUCACUGAAGCUCUACUAUCGCCUGAUAUUAGAUUCUUAUUUGGGGACAUUGUCCCGUCGGUUGGUAGUGCAUGCGAUGUUUGGGGAUGAAACUUUAAGUACCCACGGCUUAUUACGAAAAUGACCAGCGGCUUAAAAAAAAAUAAGGCAAAGACUGUAAAUUUUGUGACCAAGUCUUUAAGCAAAAGGUUACAGAUAUGUUCAUGUUGGAUGGAUAAAACGAACAACAACAUGUCUUUAGACAAAGGCCAUGAGAUUGUUGGAAUGGAAAAAGCGAUAAAAAGGGCUUAAAAUCAAGGGCUUAAAAAGAGGUCUUUGAUGAGACAAUGAUUGUGUGAUACCCACGGCUUAGAAAAAUUUGUAAGACAAUGACGGAAUUGGUCUCUUAUUUGGGAAUGGAUAGUACCCACGGCUUAUUACGAAAGCGACCAACAACAAAUAAAAAAAGAUUUACAUAGCUCAUAAAUUUGUUGGAUGGACUAAACGACCAACGGUUUACAAUAAAGUCUGUAAACAAAGAUUAUGACUGUGUUGGAUGGAUAGUACGAUCAACAAUGAACAAAAUGUCUUUAGACAAAGGUUACAGAUUAUGUUGGAUGGAUAAAACGAUCAACAAUAAACAAAAUGUCUUUAGACAAGAAGAAAAAGUGGUCUUUGAGGCAAAUGAUUGUGAUUACCCACGGCUUAGAUAAAUUCAUGUGAACCUGUUGAAUGGCUAAAGCGAUCAACGGUUUACAAAACGUCUUCAGACAAAGACUGAAAUACCCACACCUUGUGAAGAGUUCUUGGACAAUAUUGCUACCCACGGCUUAAUAAAAGUUGCGUGUUGGAAGGGAACAAACUACCCACGGCUUUGAAAGGUCUUAGACAAAGAUUUUGUAGUUUGGUUUUCUGAGUUUUUCUGCUGUAAAGACGACCAGCGGUUAAACAAGUCUUUAGACAUCAGAGCCAGAGACUACUUAUUUACAUUACCACAAGGCUUGAAAAUCGUUACAAGGAAAAGACCAACGAGUGGAAAGAGUUUAAGACAAAGACUAUCAAAAUAUGCUCCUUACUUCACAACAAGCCUUGGCAAAGAAUUUAGACAAAGACUACGCCUGAAAACGAUCAACGGUUUAGACAAGUCUUUAAGACAAAGACUAUGAACUAAGUCGAUUCUUGGUUUUUGUUGGAUGGUAAAAACGACCAACAACACCAGGUUUUGAGGAUAGGCACUUUGAACCAAACACUGAGCGUAUUGGAUGAUGGUAAAAACGAACAAUGGCAAACCAAUUCUUAGACAUAAACUACGAAACAAAAAAUUGAGUCAGUUCUUGACUUGUUGGAUGAUAAAAACGACCAACAAGCCAGGUUUAAGUCAGAGACUAUGGGGCGAUAAUUGAUUCUUCACUGCACUACUAUCGUGUUAGAAAAUUUGUUUUCAAAGUUGCUGUGAGAAGCGGCUUGAAAAAGUCCUUACUAUGGGAUACAAAAAGACGAUCAAUCUCAUAAAGAAAGUUAUGAAAAAGACUCUGAACAUUAACAUAUUCCUUACUUUACCACUUACAACGUUAAAAACUCACAAGGUAAGUAUGAAUCAUUUUGUGUGAAGUAAAGACUAAUUAAUCGUGAUUUCCUCAGGUUUUGUAUAUAUGUGCUUCAGUAGGAUCGGAGCAAAUUUCAAGUGUAGCAGAUUCUCUGACAGGUAUGUGCUUUUCAAACUUGUUUGUUGUUUAGUUAAUAAUACGAUUUUGAAAAUCACAAGAUUGUGACAUAAACAUGAAGUAAAGCUAUAUUUUCGUUUUUGUGGGUAUGUGCUUCACAAACUGUUCAUAUCCUCCUCACUAAUUCCAAGGAUUUUCAGGUAUAUUCUUUUCCUUACUUUCUUUCUUAUAAAUUGGUAUUAUUACAUUAUUAUAAUUUACAACCGAAGUUAAUUGUAUGUAAAGGUAAUGAAGAUCUUAGCACCGUUUAUAACUAAAAACGUUUGAUUAAGCUGUCUUGACAACAUUUCUCUCAUUGAUCUAGCAUCCUUGAGGUUCUAGAAACUGAUUGCUAACAUAUCCAUUGAUGAACAAGUAGAUUCUUUUUUACUAUUGGAACAGUAUAUUGUGCGUUUACAGUGUUUUGUAAUCUCUAUUUCUUUAGUUUGGUGCUUGAAUGUAUUAUAAGGUUUUUUCUUUUGUUUUUUUGAAAUGGAUGUAUCUUGGAGUCUCUUGUAGAUCAAUGUAGGUGAGAGACUCCUGCAGAUUGUGGUAGUAGUUUCUUUGCACUUUUAAUGUUUCUGAUUUGUGCCAUGCUCUAGCAUGUUGUUGUAGUAGUUUUUAAAAAAAAAAAAAUUAUGAAUGUUUCUGUUUUGUGUUAUGCUCUUAAUCUUAAACGGUGUUAUUUGGUGCUUGCAUGUGUAUUAUAAGGUCUCUCGUUUAUGAAAUGGAUAUAUUUUAGAGUAUUGUUGAUCAACAUAGGUGAGUUGUGAUAGUAGUUUCCUUGAAUGUUUAUGUUUUCUGCUCAUCCUAACCUUCAGUGAUCACUGUUAGUAGUAUUUAUGUUGCUUAGAAAAAUAUUUAUUAAUUUUAGUUAGAUCGGUGCUUGUGUGUCUAUUAUAAUGUCUCUUAUUUUUUCUUUAAAAAAAUGUCUCUUAUUUUUCAUGAAAUAGAUAUAUAUUGGAGUCUCUUGCAAUUGUAAACCAACGUUGGUGAGAGAUUCUUCAAAAUUGUGUUCGUGGUUUCCUUGAAUCUCUAGUGUGUUGUGUUUUGUGCUAUGCUCAUAAUCGACUCUACUACUAAUCUUAAACACACAAAACCCUAAGAUUUAUAAUCGGCUUUGUUUUCUUUGGACACAAGAAACCGAGAAAGAUGAUCUUUUUCCAAAAUCUCAAAACGAAAAGAAUCGUUGUGU